CGAAGGGGGCUAGCGUUGCUCGGAAUCACUGGGCGUAAAGGGUGAGUAGGCGGGUCUGUAAGUCAGGGGUGAAAUCCUGGAGCUCAACCCCAGAACUGCCUUUGAUACUGAGGAUCUUGAGUUCGGGAGAGGUGAGUGGAACUGCGAGUGUAGAGGUGAAAUUCGUAGAUAUUCGCAAGAACACCAGUGGCGAAGGCGGCUCACUGGCCCGAUACUGACGCUGAGGUGCGAAAGCGUGGGGAGCAAACAGG
rnacentral:rRNA from 1 species